rnacentral:tRNA from 1 species
GGCCUCGAAGCUGAGUUCGCUAGAGCGUUGGCUGUACUAAAGCCCUCCCCUUGUUGGUGUGGGUUCAAAUCCCACCGAGGCCG